rnacentral:lncRNA from 1 species
AGAAUGUAGUCAUAGUGUGUACAUUUAUUGUCGUAUUGUGAUAAAUGUAUUAAAUAGGCACAAUCUGUACAUGUACUCUGCUGUACAUAGGUGUACACAAUGCACAUGUACAAAAAAUGUACAUAAUCUGUAAAAUAUGUACCUAUAUAUUUCUAUAAUGUGUACACAAUGCAUAGGUACAUAAUGUGUACACUAUGCACAUUCCUUAAAAUAUCAGUGAUAAAAUAUAUAUAAUCACAGUAAGAUAUAUAAUCACACUAAUACAUAUAUGUCGUGUAAUAUCACCAAAAAGUACGUAUUGUACACAUUAGGUAUGUAUUAGGUACAUAUGUAUAGUGCACAUAUUAUGAAAAUAUAUAUGUAUCAUGAUAACACCGUAUGUACACGUAUACAAAUAUGUGCCUACUAUUUAAACAAUGUACACAUGCAGAAAUAGGUGCAAACUACAUACCUAUGCACAGCAGGCUAUUACUACAGUUCUGCUCGUAGCAGCCUCAAUGCCCACCCUGGCUGCUUAAAGACCCCCUGGCUAGGGGGCUGUACCCACAGCCCCCGCCAGAGGGCCCAUAACAGCUACCAGGCCCACGCUGGCUGCUUAGGGACCCCCUGCCUAGGGCGCUGUGCCCACAGCUGCUGGGGCCCGGCUAUUUUGAAAAUGUGGUGUAAUAUGAUACUGGCAACCAUAUCACACAGAAAUGAUAAUGUUAUUGUGGUUCUUUACAUAUUAGGCAAUAGUUCUAGUUACACAUUUGGCAUAUUGACAAAAAUGUCAUCCUCACCCCAUUGACAUUAGAAUUGAAAGCAUAGGAGGGUUUCACCCCUUGCAAUGUUUAAUUCAAUAUAAUUGUUUUCUUGUUUACAUUAGUGACCAUAUCAGAGCACGGUGUACAUCUCUUGCAGUAUUCAGAAUAUUUCUCUAUGGGCAGCAACAUUUUUCUCUCCUUAUCUGGAUAUUAGGAAGAAUAUCACAGGACCGGCUUACAGCGCCAGUCACAUCUGACCAUAUCAGAGCACAGUGUACUCCUCUUGCCGUAUUCAGAGGAUUUGCCUAUGGGCAGCAACAUUAUUCUCUCGUUCUCUGGAUAUUAGGAACAAUAUCACAGGACCGGCGGACAGCCCCAGUCAUAUCGUGAGUAAUGUCAUCUGUAAUCCCUUAGUUAUUAGAAAAAAUAUCACGGGGGUCUUGUGUGCUUUAUCAGAUACUUGGAGUAAUAUCUUUUCCGUUUUUGGAUAUUAGACACGAUACUACAGUGGUGGUGUACACUUCCUGCGAUAUUCAGGGUAUAAUAAUCUUUUGUCCCCAGGAUAUUAGGUAGUACAUUAAAGAAGCCUUGUACUUUGCCUGUGAUAUUGGAACAAUCACAGAGUGAACACUUGCUUUCAAAAUGAGAGUAAUACCUACUUAAAAUAUGAUGGAUAAUAUCAAAAAAUGGACACACAUGGGUGUAUACCCACUUUGAUAUAGAAAGAAAUUUUUAUCUAAUAUACUAAAAAUCAUAUAUCACAAUAUACUCAUAAUGUGUACACUUAUUGAGAUGUUACAAUCAAUGUGCAGAAUACAUA